rnacentral:rRNA from 2 species
GGUUAAGCGACUAAGCGUACACGGUGGAUGCCCUGGCAGUCAGAGGCGAUGAAGGACGUGCUAAUCUGCGAUAAGCGUCGGUAAGGUGAUAUGAACCGUUAUAACCGGCGAUUUCCGAAUGGGGAAACCCAGUGUGUUUCGACACACUAUCAUUAACUGAAUCCAUAGGUUAAUGAGGCGAACCGGGGGAACUGAAACAUCUAAGUACCCCGAGGAAAAGAAAUCAACCGAGAUUCCCCCAGUAGCGGCGAGCGAACGGGGAGCAGCCCAGAGCCUGAAUCAGUGUGUGUGUUAGUGGAAGCGUCUGGAAAGGCGCGCGAUACAGGGUGACAGCCCCGUACACAAAAAUGCACAUGCUGUGAGCUCGAUGAGUAGGGCGGGACACGUGGUAUCCUGUCUGAAUAUGGGGGGACCAUCCUCCAAGGCUAAAUACUCCUGACUGACCGAUAGUGAACCAGUACCGUGAGGGAAAGGCGAAAAGAACCCCGGCGAGGGGAGUGAAAAAGAACCUGAAACCGUGUACGUACAAGCAGUGGGAGCACGCUUAGGCGUGUGACUGCGUACCUUUUGUAUAAUGGGUCAGCGACUUAUAUUCUGUAGCAAGGUUAACCGAAUAGGGGAGCCGAAGGGAAACCGAGUCUUAACUGGGCGUUAAGUUGCAGGGUAUAGACCCGAAACCCGGUGAUCUAGCCAUGGGCAGGUUGAAGGUUGGGUAACACUAACUGGAGGACCGAACCGACUAAUGUUGAAAAAUUAGCGGAUGACUUGUGGCUGGGGGUGAAAGGCCAAUCAAACCGGGAGAUAGCUGGUUCUCCCCGAAAGCUAUUUAGGUAGCGCCUCGUGAAUUCAUCUCCGGGGGUAGAGCACUGUUUCGGCAAGGGGGUCAUCCCGACUUACCAACCCGAUGCAAACUGCGAAUACCGGAGAAUGUUAUCACGGGAGACACACGGCGGGUGCUAACGUCCGUCGUGAAGAGGGAAACAACCCAGACCGCCAGCUAAGGUCCCAAAGUCAUGGUUAAGUGGGAAACGAUGUGGGAAGGCCCAGACAGCCAGGAUGUUGGCUUAGAAGCAGCCAUCAUUUAAAGAAAGCGUAAUAGCUCACUGGUCGAGUCGGCCUGCGCGGAAGAUGUAACGGGGCUAAACCAUGCACCGAAGCUGCGGCAGCGACACUAUGUGUUGUUGGGUAGGGGAGCGUUCUGUAAGCCUGUGAAGGUGUGCUGUGAGGCAUGCUGGAGGUAUCAGAAGUGCGAAUGCUGACAUAAGUAACGAUAAAGCGGGUGAAAAGCCCGCUCGCCGGAAGACCAAGGGUUCCUGUCCAACGUUAAUCGGGGCAGGGUGAGUCGACCCCUAAGGCGAGGCCGAAAGGCGUAGUCGAUGGGAAACAGGUUAAUAUUCCUGUACUUGGUGUUACUGCGAAGGGGGGACGGAGAAGGCUAUGUUGGCCGGGCGACGGUUGUCCCGGUUUAAGCGUGUAGGCUGGUUUUCCAGGCAAAUCCGGAAAAUCAAGGCUGAGGCGUGAUGACGAGGCACUACGGUGCUGAAGCAACAAAUGCCCUGCUUCCAGGAAAAGCCUCUAAGCAUCAGGUAACAUCAAAUCGUACCCCAAACCGACACAGGUGGUCAGGUAGAGAAUACCAAGGCGCUUGAGAGAACUCGGGUGAAGGAACUAGGCAAAAUGGUGCCGUAACUUCGGGAGAAGGCACGCUGAUAUGUAGGUGAAGUCCCUCGCGGAUGGAGCUGAAAUCAGUCGAAGAUACCAGCUGGCUGCAACUGUUUAUUAAAAACACAGCACUGUGCAAACACGAAAGUGGACGUAUACGGUGUGACGCCUGCCCGGUGCCGGAAGGUUAAUUGAUGGGGUUAGCCGCAAGGCGAAGCUCUUGAUCGAAGCCCCGGUAAACGGCGGCCGUAACUAUAACGGUCCUAAGGUAGCGAAAUUCCUUGUCGGGUAAGUUCCGACCUGCACGAAUGGCGUAAUGAUGGCCAGGCUGUCUCCACCCGAGACUCAGUGAAAUUGAACUCGCUGUGAAGAUGCAGUGUACCCGCGGCAAGACGGAAAGACCCCGUGAACCUUUACUAUAGCUUGACACUGAACAUUGAGCCUUGAUGUGUAGGAUAGGUGGGAGGCUUUGAAGUGUGGACGCCAGUCUGCAUGGAGCCGACCUUGAAAUACCACCCUUUAAUGUUUGAUGUUCUAACGUUGACCCGUAAUCCGGGUUGCGGACAGUGUCUGGUGGGUAGUUUGACUGGGGCGGUCUCCUCCUAAAGAGUAACGGAGGAGCACGAAGGUUGGCUAAUCCUGGUCGGACAUCAGGAGGUUAGUGCAAUGGCAUAAGCCAGCUUGACUGCGAGCGUGACGGCGCGAGCAGGUGCGAAAGCAGGUCAUAGUGAUCCGGUGGUUCUGAAUGGAAGGGCCAUCGCUCAACGGAUAAAAGGUACUCCGGGGAUAACAGGCUGAUACCGCCCAAGAGUUCAUAUCGACGGCGGUGUUUGGCACCUCGAUGUCGGCUCAUCACAUCCUGGGGCUGAAGUAGGUCCCAAGGGUAUGGCUGUUCGCCAUUUAAAGUGGUACGCGAGCUGGGUUUAGAACGUCGUGAGACAGUUCGGUCCCUAUCUGCCGUGGGCGCUGGAGAACUGAGGGGGGCUGCUCCUAGUACGAGAGGACCGGAGUGGACGCAUCACUGGUGUUCGGGUUGUCAUGCCAAUGGCACUGCCCGGUAGCUAAAUGCGGAAGAGAUAAGUGCUGAAAGCAUCUAAGCACGAAACUUGCCCCGAGAUGAGUUCUCCCUGACCCUUUAAGGGUCCUGAAGGAACGUUGAAGACGACGACGUUGAUAGGCCGGGUGUGUAAGCGCAGCGAUGCGUUGAGCUAACCGGUACUAAUGAACCGUGAGGCUUAACCUU